UACGUAGGGUGCGAGCGUUGUCCGGAAUUACUGGGCGUAAAGGGUGCGUAGGCGGGUCUUUUAAGUCAGGGGUGAAAUCCUGGAGCUCAACUCCAGAACUGCCUUUGAUACUGAAGAUCUUGAGUUCGGGAGAGGUGAGUGGAACUGCGAGUGUAGAGGUGAAAUUCGUAGAUAUUCGCAAGAACACCAGUGGCGAAGGCGGCUCACUGGCCCGAUACUGACGCUGAGGCACGAAAGCGUGGGGAGCAAACAGG
rnacentral:rRNA from 1 species